GAUGUAUAGGAGCUGACGCCUGCCCGGUGCUGGAAGGUUAAGGGGAUCUGUUAGAGCAAUCGAAGCAGUGAACUUAAGCCCCAGUAAACGGCGGCCGUAACUAUAACGGUCCUAAGGUAGCGAAAUGCCUUGUCGGGUAAGUUCCGACCCGCACGAAAGGCGUAACGAUUUGGGCACUGUCUCAACAACAGACUCGGUGAAAUUGUAAUUCCGGUGAAGAUGCCGGAACGCGACAGGACGGAAAGACCCCAUGG
rnacentral:rRNA from 1 species